GACGAACGCUGGCGGCGUGCCUAACACAUGCAAGUCGAACGGAAAGGCCCUGCUUUUGUGGGGUGCUCGAGUGGCGAACGGGUGAGUAACACGUGAGUAACCUGCCCUUGACUUUGGGAUAACUUCAGGAAACUGGGGCUAAUACCGGAUAGGAGCUCCUGCUGCAUGGUGGGGGUUGGAAAGUUUCGGCGGUUGGGGAUGGACUCGCGGCUUAUCAGCUUGUUAGUGGGGUAGUGGCAUACCAAGGCUUUGACGGGUAGCCGGCCUGAGAGGGUGACCGGCCACAUUGGGACUGAGAGACGGCGCAGACUCCUACGGGAGGCAGUGGUGGAGAAUAUUGCGCAGUAGGCGGGAGCCUGAUGCGGCGACGCCGCGUGCGGGAUGACGGCCUUCGGGUUGUGAACCGCUUUCGCCUGUGACGAGGCGUGAGUGACGGUAAUGGGUAAAGAAGCACCGGCUAACUACGUG
rnacentral:rRNA from 1 species